rnacentral:rRNA from 1 species
UACGUAGGGGGCAAGCGUUGUCCGGAAUCAUUGGGCGUAAAGCGCGCGUAGGCGGCCAGAUUAGUCCGGUGUGAAAGUCAGAGGCUCAACCUUUGAAUGCCGCUGGAAACUGUCUGGCUUGAGUCCGGAAGGGGCGAGUGGAAUUCCUGGUGUAGCGGUGAAAUGCGUAGAUAUCGAGAGGAACACCUGCGGCGAAGGCGGGUUGCUGGGCUGACACUGACGCUGAGGCGCGAAAGCUAGGGGAGCGAACGGG